rnacentral:lncRNA from 1 species
CACACUUACACACUAAAACUCCCACAGAAAGGGGGAAAAUUAGAAAAGGGGUGAUAUAAUUUGACUCUGUGUCACCACCCAAAUCUCAUCUUGAAUUGUAAUCCCCGUAAUUUCUCACCUGGCAAGAGUGGGACCAGGUGGAGACAAUUGGAUCAUGGGGGCAGUUUUCCCCAUGCUCUUCUCGUGAUAAUGAUUGAGUCUCAUGGGAUCUGAUGAUUCUAUAAGUGUCUGGCUUUUCUCCUACUUGCACUCACUCCAUCCUGCCACCCUGCGAGGAAGGUGCCUGCUUCUUCUUUGCCUUCCGCCGUGAGUGUGAGUCUCCUGAGGCCUCCCCAGCAAUGUGGAACUGAUACGUCAUGGAACAGAGGGCAACCUGCCUCCUGGAAAUGUGGAGUGUCUAGGGAGUCACAGCUGAGAUCUUCCUUGGAUUAAAGGCUGCGGGUGUCACAAACAGACCUGAUUGAAAAUUCUUGAUCUGGCCACAUACCCUGUUUACAUUGAUGCAGAUUCAACUGGGUGAAAUAACUGUGAACUGGGCAUGUGAAGAGAAAGCUGAAAGCCAUGAUCUCAAGAUGGAAACUUCAGUAUCCAGCAAAGAAAUGGUGAAGGCGUUCGUUAUGUGGGAUAUGCUGUUACCACUGAACUUGAAGUUAUCAAAGAAGUUCUAUUCUUAACCCUUAAUCUGCUCAGAAACUUGCAAACCCAAAAGAAAAGGAAGAAAGUAUAUUCAAGACAGCAGUAAUAUCUACAAAAUCUCAGAGACAUGAAAGAAGCAUCGCUCAUAUUCUUUAGCAUCAAGUGCAAUAAGAUGUGAAGAUGCUGUAACAACACCAUAAACUUUCAAACAACUCUAUUUCCUACGGUUCUGGAGGCUGGAAGUCCACAAUCAAAGUGUCAUGUUGUCAGGUUGUGGUGAGGGCCCUCUUUUGGGUGUAGAUUGCUAACUUUUCUGUAUGUGUUCACAUGGCAGAAAGAGAUUGAGCUAGCUCUUGGAUCCUUUCUUAUAAGGGCACCAAUCCCAAUACAGAGGCUUCACUCUCAUGACAUAAUUGUCUCCCAAAGACUCUACCUCCAAAUAUUAUCAAUCACAUUAGGGGAUAGAUUUUAACACAUGAUUUUGGGGGGAACACAUUCAGUCCAUAACAUUUCUUGAGUCUUCUUCUAGGACCCAUAGGUUAUUUUAAAAGUGGCUUGUUCAGUUCCAAGUGUUUGAAGAUUUUUUUUUUCUGUUAUCUUUAACUUACUGAUUUCUAGAUAGACCCCAUUGUGCUCAGAGAACACUCCUUAUGUGAUUUCAAUUAUUUUAAAUUUGUUGAGAUUUUAUGACUUAGUAUGUCAUCUGUCUUGGUGUGUAUUCUGUGGGGGGGAUGGGGGGUGCUUGAAAAACGGGUAUUCUGCUAUUAUAGAAUGUCAAAAUAUCAACUGUAAUAAACAAGAAAAAUAAUCCUAGUCUUUUAUUUAAGGGCCCUCUUUAGUCCAUCUCAACAGACCCUUCUCCGAAGGGGAAAGAAAUGCAGCUCACAAGAGCCCAUUAAACAACUAAAACAAGACAAAAUAAAACAACUACCCCCUGCCAAUUUGCACACUGUUACUUCUUUUGUUUUCCCAAUCUUAUUUCUUCUUCUUUUUUAUAAUAAAAAAUUUCAAAGCAAUUAUCUGCUUUCUUACUUCCCCUUGACUUUGCC